GGCUGACUCGGGGUCCUCCCAGGCUCAGCCAGUUUGCUGAGGCCUCAAGGCCAGAGGGCAUAGAGUUCUGGAUCCUCCAGCUAGAGGAAGGGAAGCAGGGAACCCCAAAGGGAUGGGGGCUCACUCAGGCUGGGAAGGGCGGAAGCCGGCUCAGCACGUGUGCGGGACCCCCCAGCUGACACCUACAAACACACUGUGUUUCUGUAACCUCAGAAGCCUUAAGUGGGGCCCGCAGGGGAUAGGCGAGGGAUGGACCGUGCUCUGCUUGGGUGCAGAGGCUUUGGGGAGAGGCCCAGUGCCUACCAACUGGGCCCGCGCUGCUGUUCACAGGCCGAAGCAAGUCACGCCCCAGACACUGACAGAGAACUUCAGAGUGCGCCCACCACGGUCAGACACCUGGCCCACCGCAGCUGGCGCGGGCCCCGGGGCAUCCGCAGAGCUCCCCCUGCGUGCCGCUGGCUGCUAGCCACACCAGGAGAGCGACAGCCCGGCCGCUGGCGGGCUCCUCGGGACCUGUUUCUUGUUACUCCUCGCAACAAUCUGAUUUUCUCUGCUGAGCAGAGGGCCGUGGAAAAGACUGCGGUUGGAGACCCAUGAUUUCCUGGCAGUUAAUGAAUUUCAGCCAAACGGAAAGCAAGGGUCUCCAGGGGUGCCUGGGCGAUGUCCUGGAGCUGCACCUGCUCCAGAUCCGCCGGGAGGCCGCACUCGGUUACAACCGGCUGGCCUACCCACAGCCGCCUCGCCCCUCCGUGCCCGGCGCGGGCUCUCGUGUUUUUUUUUUAUUCUGGGCAAAAUCCUACACAGAUGUCUGACAUUUUAAGGAGCAAGAAAUGUGGACAGUCGCUGUGUGCUGGGCCAGCGGGCUUGGGAGCCAUCUUUCUGAGCGGCGUCUCUGGCAGCCGGGCGUGCAGGGGACACUUAAUUGUGGGCCUGUUUGCUGGCAGGACGCCCUGCCUCGUCCAGCGGGCAGCCAGCAUGAUAAUGAGACAGUUUCUAUGGAAAUGAGCUUAUAACUAUUCAUUUUCUCCCCAUUCCCGACCCAUCCACAAAGAGGUUUUCCAAAAUGACCCCCGUUUUCCUACCCCCAGCAUGUCCUCACACCACUGCCCAGCCCGCUAAUCAGCCCGAGGAGAAAGGAGAGAGGAAGUGCCGACCUCUGGCAAGACGUGGGAACGCGCCCGCACCCCGCGUGGCUGUGACCGGCAAACAAAGAGGCCUCGCCCGCCCGGGCCAAGUUCCCAGCACACUUCCCGAGCCCUCUCGAGCGCCUUUUCGUGUGUUUUCUGCUGAGGUCUGAAGUACUCCUUUGCCAUCUUUUGAGAAACUUUGAAAGCCAUCCUGUUCUUCUGGAACAUUCCCGGCUGGCCUCCCUCACCUGCGGGCUGCUUCCCGAGAAUGGGUCUUUCUCGGGAAAGGGAAGACACCCUGGGGAAUGGGAGUCAGGGCACCCCUCCAGGUUGGUGGGGCUACCAAUUUCAGCACGUUUUCCCCUCCCUUUUAUAGGGUCUCAGAAAAUAGAGGCGCAGCCACCAGCAUGGGGAUCAGGGAAGCCACAGACCCACAGGAGGUUCUUGCCUGAGACUCAACCCGGACUCAGACCAGCUCGGCUCUUCCUGGCUGUGUGGCUGCGGGCAGAGCUCUUGGCCUCUCUGAGCCCCUGCUAGACCCUCCAGAAGUGGGGUGGGGGGAUUAAACCCGGGGAUCCUGCUGAGCCCACGGCAUGGCAUCUGCAGCCAGUGGUCCGGGUCAGCAGUGACUCACAGUGCUGUUGUCAGCGGGGCCCGGCUCCAGGACCCCGACCGAGGGGGUCGUCUGACCCAGGCUGUGUCUGAGGUCUCCCUGCAGCUCUGCACAGGAAGAUGGACCUUGUUUGCUCCUCAGCCCCUGGGGGCUCUCUGUCCCCUUCCUGCCCAGGCCAGGGUUGGGGGUGUCCCUCCAGGUCCUUGUCCUCUGGUCCCUUUUGCACGGAGCAGCUGCAGUGCAUGCAGCAGUAACCCCGGGAACGCUUGGUGGGUCUACCAGCGAGGCGGGGUCGGGGGGUUGCCGGGGGGUGGUGGUGGCAGGACGUCCCAGAAACACCCAUCAGCAGCUAUUUGGAGACUGGCCGAGCCCAGCCCAGCCAGGCGGGGCCCAUGUCUCACCCAGGGGCCAGGGCCCUGCAGGCCACCCAGCUCUGUGUGCCAUGCUGAGACCCUCAGCUGCGCACUGCCAGAGCCCGCCUUGAGCACCACUGAGGCUGGGUGUGGGGGAGCCCAGCCUGGGGUGGUGGGCUUAGCAGAUGAAAGUACAAGACACCCAGUCAGUCCUGAACUUCAGAUAAACAACAGGUACAUUUUAGUACCUGUGUCCCGCGCGACAUUCAGGACCCUCUGCCACACUGGGUCUGCCUCCAUACAUGCAUGGGGCUGAAGCCCAGAACCCUGUUCCUAUAGACAGGGGGCUAAUGUUCUGUGCUUUUUAAAGAAAAAUAUUAAACAAACCCUUAAGCUCAGACUCCUGACCCACCCUAAAAGCUGGUGGGGCCCGGUCUGAUCAGACUAUAAAGUGGAAGCUUUCUCCGGGCCUCCGGAGGGCUAGAGGUGCCUUCUCAGUUUUGAAAGAAAGUGUCAGUUUUAAAAUUUAACUGGCUCAGCAAAACAGCUGGCUUAGGUAUAGCUAUGAAACAAAAAAUCCAACCAAAAACAUAUUUACAAAAAUGUUUAAAUGCCUGUCAUUUAAAUAGUCACAGUAUAUUUUUGGCAGAAAAUCAGUUUCAAAAUCCAGAUUAGGGCUCAUUCUCUGUUUUGAAAGUAGCCCCCAUGAGGACAAGACCCGGGUUAUACGGCGUUCCGUUUUCUCUGUCUUUGCAGCCCUCUGGGGACCUCCCAGGGCACUGCCAAGUUUGUAUACAGAGAACGUGAAUUAUUAAAAAUUCAUGGAGUUUGUUCUCUCUGGGGGUGCAGUCCUGGCUGGCCACGGUUGUUAACACACAAUGAGCACGUUUAGAUGUCAGAGACUUGGGGCCCAUAGGCUCAUGUCGUGUGUUUCAUAUAUGAAAUAAUCUCUGUAUGUGUGUGCCCAUGUGUGCACUGUAUACACAUGGGAAUUCAGUAAUUUAUGUAAUUAUAUACAUGUAUUUUUAUAUAAAAGGUAAACACAAGACAGAAGACUUAAAGGAUUUUGUCUCUAGGUGAUGAGACAUGAAAUCAUAAUUUAAAAAAUAUAUUUGCAUGUUUUCUACAAGGAGCACCCAUUAUUUUUAUAAUUUCAUAGUUUUUAUGAUAUAUGUUACAGGGGCGCCAGCCCCACGACAACCCUGGAUGCAUCCAGCAGCUUCACCAGCCCAGAGACGGCCCGGCUGGUCAUCGUCUCUGCGGGCACUCGGCGGGUGGCAGCUCUGAGCCGCCCCCCCACCGGCCCAACCCCUGCACGGCCUCCCUUGAAUAUGUGCUGACAGGGCUCCCCAUCCAGCAGGGUCAGA